CAUGAAGCUGGAAUCGCUAGUAAUCGCGGAUCAGAAUGCCGCGGUGAAUACGUUCCCGGGUCUUGUACACACCGCCCGUCACACCAUGGGAGUCGGAAAUGCCCGAAGUCUGUGACCCAACCUCAGGGAGGGAGCAGCCGAAGGCAGGUCGGAUGACUGGGGUGAAGUCGUAACAAGGUAGC
rnacentral:rRNA from 1 species